AGUUGGUAAUUGUCUCCCACUUGUGUGGUACCAAAUGUUAAUUGCUGCUUAUCAAUCCUAGCAUGGCUGUUAUUGCAGAUUUUGCUGCUUAUGGACACAGGUUACUUCAGGAUCUGAGAACUUGUGAAUGGUGCAAUCAUGAGUGAAUAUCCGCACUUCUGAACAUAUGUUGGUAGGAAGAUCAUGAAACAGUUGAAAGUGGUUGGGCCGAGGAUAUUACUCUGAGGAUGUCUGAGAAAUUGCUCAAUGAGUUAGCAAUCACAAAGCACAGUUCGAAGUGAAAUUGACAGACAGUUUAUUAGUACGGUGAUAUCGUGAAAGAGAAAUUGAUGAAGCUGAAACAGCACAGACAGUCUGCCCAGGCAGUCAUGAAUUUCUCUUCCCCGAGCUGAGGAUGAGACCAAUUUUUAUAAUAAUCCUGUACAACAAGGCUAAUUAGAAAUUAGAAAAAUACAAUGUAUCUGGAAAUGGCGUAAUCUAUUUACAAUGAUGCUAAUAGGAAAAUAGUUAUCGGAGGAAUGUCCUGAUUCUCUACACAAUGGAGCAUUCUGACAGUAUUGAUGGUUCCAGAGCUUCCAUUCCUCUUCGCAGAUGAAGUCGAGUUUUGAACAGCUUGUGCAGCUCGGAGUCAUGGAACACCCAGGAGAGAGAGAAAAGCAAGCUCCAUGGAGAAAUGAACUUUAAGCUGUAUUGCUGAAAAGCAAUACUCCAAUUCUAAAGGACAAAUGACAUUACUGUUUGUGGGACUACACUGAUACCCAGCCAUGUGCUCUUCUAGCCUGAUGAUACAGGCGGACCAAGAUAGAAGUUGGGAAAAGAAUACCUGCAAGUAAGUUUUCUUAUCAAGUUGAUUCUACUUCUGAAACAUUCACCCAGCAGCCCCUCAGAAAGACAUCUGCAUGCUCCUUUCUGCCCUGAUGACUAUAUUUGUUUCAGACAAGUGCAAAUGGAACCAAGGCUCAAUGAGCUCCAUAACCUGCAAGAUAUUUACUACUGACAUUCUAAUUUUCAAAGCAAAAGAAUAAGUAACCAGCAUCUAGCUCAGUUGAACUGGCAGAGGUAGAACAACAUACAAAUUGUGGGAAGCAGAAAGGGGAAGAUUUCACAGUUACACAAGAGACUUCACUUGGGUGUUUGUAAUGAUACAAAUGUUGCUUAAUUUAUGAUACAGUAAAUGAGGAAAGAAUUUCUUAUUGCAUCAUUUAAGGUCCCCAAGGAUCAGAAUACUUCCUCAGAAUGGCACAGAGGAGAUUGGAAUCAGUGAAGGCUGCAUGUUUGUGAUGGGGUGAUUUGUGAUUGCAGGAUUUCAUUGUAUUUGGGGGCAUGAAGGGGCCUAAAGGGUUUCAAGUAAUGAACAGUACGUCAA